AGAUAUUUUGUAGUUUGAGUCCCACACCAGGGCGUACCAUUUGCCGUGCUACCAAUUUUUCCUCAAACGGUUGGAUUAGCAUUAACACCUAUCACCUAAGGAAAGUUGUCGGCUCCAAUAAAAUAGAUACUUGAUAAACUGUGAAUGGAUCUAUUGCCUAUAAAUGAGAAAUCCAGUUUUCAGAGCAAAUUAACUUAUAAUCUUCAGAUG